UGUGUUCCAUGAUGAAAAAAAAUCAUUAACCUGAUUUAUCAGUGAUGAUUAUAUAAAUAAUCACCAUCUUUCGGCUGAGAUUGUA
rfam:Gossypium hirsutum cultivar TM-1 chromosome 19, whole genome shotgun sequence